CGCACAUUGCGCCCUUUGGUAUUCCGGAGGGCAUGCCUGUUCGAGCGUCAUUACAAGCAAUCAAGCAGCGCUUGGUAUUGGGAGCGAUGCGGCCGCAAGGCCGGCCCUCAAAUAUUUGCGGCGGUGCUGCCUAGACUCAGGGUGUAGUUGUCUACCCGCCCUCAGUACCUGGCAGGGCCAGCCAGGCCAAAUAAGAACCACUCAAUGUUUGACCUCGGAUCAGGUAGGGGUACCCGCUGAACUUAA
rnacentral:misc_RNA from 1 species